CAGUCACGCCCCUUGCCGUAUAUCAUUCUUUGACGUAAUUCAUUCUCACCCAAAGAGGUCUAUAACCAAUCUCACUGCUACAACUGCUCCUCCUCCACCUACUAAUACUACCACCCAGUCAUCCUCUACUGUCACAACUGUUUUAGCAGGUCUUAAUGCCGGUUAAUGCUGUUAUAAUCCUGACAUCAUUGGGUGUCGUCAUAUUAUCAUUGAUGAUGUGUCUCUCUCUCUGUAUCAGUUUGUUCUGCCAUUAUCUACAAAAGGAAAUUGCAUAGAGCUACCUCAUUACAAAAACAGAAAGCAUCUACUGCAACUAAUGAAGCAUACCAGAUCAACAGUUUAAUGAUUAUAGUAAUCCAGUUUAUGAAGAAAUAGAAGGAAACAGAAGGGAUGUAAUUAAUAAUCCAGUUUAUGGAGAAGUAAAAGGUAGCUAAGGAGAAUUAGUCAAUAAUCCAGCUUAUGGAGAAGUUGAAGGCAGCAGUCAUUAAUCAAGAAACAGACUUGUGAAAUUAACAGUAGAUAAUCUGCAUUGUACAAUUACAUACACAUUAAAGUGAAUUUAAUUUCAACUUUACCAUGCAAAUACAAGAUUGAUUAUUUCAAAAUUAUA
rnacentral:lncRNA from 1 species